rnacentral:misc_RNA from 1 species
GAUGAAGAACGCAGCGAAAUGCGAUAAGUAAUGUGAAUUGCAGAAUUCAGUGAAUCAUCGAAUCUUUGAACGCACAUUGCGCCCGCCAGUAUUCUGGCGGGCAUGCCUGUUCGAGCGUCAUUACAACCCUCAGGCCCCCGGGCCUGGCGUUGGGGAUCGGCGGAAGCCCCCUGUGGGCACACGCCGUCCCUCAAAUACAGUGGCGGUCCCGCCGCAGCUUCCAUUGCGUAGUAGCUAACACCUCGCAACUGGAGAGCGGCGCGGCCAUGCCGUAAAACACCCAACUUCUGAAUGUUGACCUCGAAUCAGGUAGGAAUACCCGCUGAACUUAAGCAUACAAUAAGCGGAGGA